ensembl:rRNA 5S_rRNA 5S ribosomal RNA
GUCUACGGUCAUACCACCCUGAACACACCCGAUCUUGUCUGAUCUCGGAAGCUAAGCAGGGUCAGGCCUGGUUAGUACUUGGAUGGGAGAAAGAUGAUAGAUAAACAAAGAGGAAAGAUCUUUGGCACUGAUCAUG